rnacentral:misc_RNA from 1 species
GGGAGUCAGGAGGACCGGGCGCGGCACGUCGGGGUUCAGGGUGAUGGCCGUGAGCACGGAGACCACCGGGGUGGUGACGCGGAUGGAGCAGCUGCUCAACAUGGACACCACCCCCUUCACCGACAAGAUCAUCGCCGAGUACAUCUGGGUUGGAGGAACUGGAAUUGACCUCAGAAGCAAAUCAAGGACAAUAUCAAAACCAGUGGAGGACCCCUCGGAGCUACCAAAAUGGAACUACGAUGGAUCAAGCACAGGGCAAGCUCCAGGAGAAGAUAGUGAAGUCAUCUUAUACCCACAGGCUAUAUUCAAGGACCCAUUUCGAGGUGGCAACAACAUAUUGGUUAUGUGUGAUACCUACACACCAGCUGGGGAACCCAUCCCUACUAACAAACGUAACAGGGCUGCACAAGUAUUCAGUGAUCCAAAGGUUGUCAGCCAAGUGCCAUGGUUUGG